rnacentral:rRNA from 1 species
GAUGAACGCUGGCGGCGUGCCUAAUACAUGCAAGUCGAGCGAACAGACGAGGAGCUUGCUCCUCUGACGUUAGCGGCGGACGGGUGAGUAACACGUGGAUAACCUACCUAUAAGACUGGGAUAAUUUCGGGAAACCGGAGCUAAUACCGGAUAAUAUAUUGAACCGCAUGGUUCAAUAGUGAAAGACGGUUUUGCUGUCACUUAUAGAUGGAUCCACGCCGCAUGAGCUAGUUGGUAAGGUAACGGCUUAUCAAGGCAACGAUGCGUAGACGACCUGAGAGGGUGGUAGGCCACACGGGAACUUGGACACGGUCAAGACUCCUACGAGAGGCAGCAGUAGGGAAUCUUCCGCAAUAGGCGAGAGCUUGACAGAGCAACGCCGCGUGAGUGAUGAAGGUCUUCGGAUCGUAAAACUCUGUUAUGAGGGAAGAACAAAUUUGUAAGUAACUAUGCACGUCUUGACGGUACCUGAUCAGAAAGCCACGGCUAACUACGUG